GAACCGUACGAACGUUAUUCGGAAUUACUGGGCUUAAAGGGUGCGUAGGCGGGCAUGGUAAGUUGGGGUGUGAAAUCCCUCGGGCUCAACCGAGGAAUUGCGCCCAAAACUGCCUUGCUUGAGGGAGACAGAGGUGAGCGGAACUACGGGUGGAGCGGUGAAAUGCGUUGAUAUCCGUAGGAACACCGGUGGCGAAAGCGGCUCACUGGGUCUCUUCUGACGCUGAGGCACGAAAGCUAGGGUAGCGAACGGGAUUAGAUACCCCGGUAGUCCUAGCUGUAAACGAUGAGCACUGGGUCGGAGAUCCUUCCACAGGUUUCCGGCCGAAGCGAAAGUGUUAAGUGCUCCGCCUGGGGAGUAUGGUCGCAAGGCUG
rnacentral:rRNA from 1 species